UAGAGUUUGAUCAUGGCUCAGGAUAAACGCUGGCGGCGUGCAUGAGACAUGCAAGUCGAACGGACGACUCGGGCUUGCUCGAGUCGUUAGUGGCGAACGGCUGAGUAACGCGUGGGUGACCUGCCCCGAAGUGGGGAAUAACUGCCCGAAAGGGUGGCUAAUACCGCAUGUGGUGGUUCGUUCGGUCGGACCACCAAAGCCGCAAGGCGCUUCGGGAGGGGCCUGCGUCCGAUUAGCUCGUUGGUGAGGUAACGGCUCACCAAGGCGACGAUCGGUAGGUGGUCUGAGAGGACGAUCACCCAGACUGGGACUGAGACACGGCCCAGACUCCUACGGGAGGCAGCAGUCGGGAAUUUUGCGCAAUGGACGAAAGUCUGACGCAGCAACGCCGCGUGAGGGAUGAAGGCCUUCGGGUUGUAAACCUCUUUUUCCAGGGAAGAUAAUGACGGUACCUGGCGAAUAAGUCACGGCUAACUACGUGCCAGCAGCCGCGGUAAU
rnacentral:rRNA from 1 species